rnacentral:ncRNA from 1 species
GGUAGCUCCGUUGGCAGUGGAAGACGGCUUUAAAUUUUAAACAUUGAUCAAUUUACUUUAGUAUAUUUAUUUAUUUGUUUAUUUAUUUAUUUAUUUUUUCUAACUUGAUUUUAAAUUCAUCAUAUUAUAUUAAAUAAGUAGGCUAAGUGUUAAGUUUUAGCCCAACAAGGGGGUUUAACCUUGGAAGUAGGUCCCGAUGACAUGUACAUCGGAAAACAGGAUUUAGUCAAAUGCCUCGUCAUCUAAUUAGUGACGCGCAUGAAUGGAUUAACGAGAUUCCCACCGUCCCUAUCUACUGUCUAGCGAAACCACUGCCAAGGGAACGGGCUUGGAAAAAUUAGCGGGGAAAGAAGACCCUGUU